CACGUAGGGUGCGAGCGUUGUCCGGAAUCAUUGGGCGUAAAGAGCGUGUAGGCGGCCACUUAAGUCCUGCGUGAAAUCUAGCGGCUCAACCGCAAGCGGUCGUGGGAAACUGGGUGGCUAGAGUGCGGGAGAGGAGAGUGGAAUUCCUGGUGUAGCGGUGGAAUGCGCAGAUAUCAGGAAGAACACCCGUGGCGAAGGCGGCUCUCUGGAACGCAACUGACGCUGAGACGCGAAAGCGUGGGGAGCAAACAGG
rnacentral:rRNA from 1 species